rnacentral:tRNA from 1 species
UGGUAGAGCGCUACGUUCGGGACGUAGAGGUCGCUGGUUCGAACCCAGUCACUCCGACCA